rnacentral:rRNA from 1 species
CACGUAGGGCGCAAGCGUUGUCCGGAAUUAUUGGGCGUAAAGAGCUCGUAGGCGGUCUGUUGCGUCCGCUGUGAAAACCCGGGGCUUAACCCUGGGCUGGCAGUGGAUACGGACAGACUAGAGGUAGGUAGGGGAGAAUGGAAUUCCCGGUGUAGCGGUGAAAUGCGCAGAUAUCGGGAGGAACACCGGUGGCGAAGGCGGUUGCCUGGGGCUUUGCUGACGCUGAGGCGCGAAAGCGUGGGGAGCGAACAGG